AGGAACCUGCCUUGGAGAGGGGAAUAACACUCCGAAAGGAGUGCUAAUACCGCAUAAUGCAGUUGGGUCGCAUGGCUCUGACUGUCAAAGAUUUAUCGCUCUGAGAUGGCCUCGCGUCUGAUUAGCUAGUUGGUGAGGUAAUGGCCCACCAAGGCGACGAUCGGUAGCCGGACUGAGAGGUUGAACGGCCACAUUGGGACUGAGACACGGCCCAG
rnacentral:rRNA from 1 species